rnacentral:tRNA from 1 species
AAAAACAUUGGUCUUGUAAACCAAAGACUGAAGGCUGUCCCCCUUCUUAGAGUU